UAUGGCUCAGGAUGAACGCUAGCGGGAGGCCUACCAUGCAAGCCGAGCGGUAGAGAUUCUUCGGAAUCUUGAGAGCGGCGUACGGGUGCGGAACACGUGUGCAACAUGCCUUUAUCAGGGGGACAGCCUUUCGAAAGGAAGAUUAAUACCCCAUAACAUUUUGAAUGGCAUCAUUUAAAAUUGAAAACUCCGGUGGAUAGAGAUGGGCACGCGCAAGAUUAGAUAGUUGGUGAGGUAACGGCUCACCAAGUCUGCGAUCUUUAGGGGGCCUGAGAGGGUGAUCCCCCACACUGGUACUGAGACACGGACCAGACUCCUACGGGAGGCAGUAGUGAGGAAUAUUGGACAAUGGGUGCGAGCCUGAUCCAGCCAUCCCGCGUGAAGGACGACGGCCCUAUGGGUUGUAAACUUCUUUUGUAUAGGGAUAAACCUAGAUACGUGUAUCUAGCUGAAGGUACUAUACGAAUAAGCACCGGCUAACUCCGUGCCAGCAGCCGCGGUAAUACGGAGGGUGCAAGCGUUAUCCGGAUUUAUUGGGUUUAAAGGGUCCGUAGGCGGAUCUGUAAGUCAGUGGUGAAAUCUCACAGCUUAACUGUGAAACUGCCAUUGAUACUGCAGGUCUUGAGUGUUGUUGAAGUAGCUGGAAUAAGUAGUGUAGCGGUGAAAUGCAUAGAUAUUACUUAGAACCACCAAUUGCGAAGGCCAGGUUACUAAGCAACAACCUG
rnacentral:rRNA from 1 species